ensembl:lncRNA
GAGGAGGGAUGGGGAGGGAGGUGGGGAUGGGGAUACGGGGAUGUGGGGAGAAGUGGGGAGAGGUGGAAAGAGAUGGAGGGAUGGGGGGGUGGAGAGGGAUGGGGAGAUGGAGGGAUGGGGAGAGAUGGAGAGGGAUGGAAAGAGAUGGAGAGAUGGAGGGAUGGAGAGAUGGGAGAGAUGGAGAGAAGGAGGGACGGAGGAAUGGAGAGGGAUGGAGAGAUGGAGGGAUGUGGAGAGAUGGAAAGGGAUGGAGAAAUGAAAGGGAUGGAAAGAGAUGGAGAGAUGGGGAGAGAUGGAGGGAUGGAGAGGGAUGGAGAGAUGGGGAGAUGGAGAAGUGGAGACGUGGAUGGACAGAGCUGGAGAGGUGUAGAGAUGGAGAGAGAUAGGGAGAGGGAUGGAGAGAUGGGGACAUGGAGAGGUGGAGACGUGGAUGGACAGAGGUGGAGAGACGGAGAGGUGGGGCUGUGGAGAGAUGGAUGCAGAGCUGGAGAGGUGGAGAGAUGGAGACACGAAGAGGUGGAGAGGUGGAAAGAUGGAGAGGCGGAGAGAGAUGGAGACAUGGAGAGAUGGAAGUGGAGACAGAUGGACAAAGAUGGAAAGGUGGAGAGACGGAGACGUGGAGGUGAAAUGGGGAGACAUGGAGAUCCAUGGACGUGGAUAUGGGGAGAGAUGGAGACAGAGAGACGUGGGAGAUGGAGAGGUGAAGAAAUGGAGGGGCGGACAGGUCGAGAGAUGGAGGGAUGGGUAAAAAGGGGACAAAGACGUGGAGAGAUGGAGAGAUGGACGGACAGAGGUGGAGAGGUUGAGAUGGAGAGAGAUGGAGAGGCAGAGAUGGAGAGAUGGAUGGGCAAAGAUGGAGAGGCUGAGAUGGAGAGAGGGAUGGACAGAGGUGGAGAGGCUGAGAUGGAGAGAUGGAGAAGUUGAGAUGGAGAGAUGGAUGGACAGAGGUGGAGAGGCUGAGAUGGGCAGAGAUGGAGAGGCUGAGAUGGAGAUGGAGAGGCUGAGAUGGAGAGAUGGAGAGGCUGAGAUGGAGAGAGAUGGAGAGGCUGAGAUGGAGAGAUGGAUGGACAGAGGUGGAGAAGCUGAGAUGGAGAGAUGGAUGGGCACAGAUGGAGAGGCUGAGAUGGAGAGGCUGAGAUGGAGAUGGAGAGGCUGAGAUGGAGAGGUGGA